GAUGAACGCUGGCUACAGGCUUAACACAUGCAAGUCGAGGGGAAACGACGGGGAAGCUUGCUUCCCCGGGCGUCGACCGGCGCACGGGUGAGUAACGCGUAUCCAACCUGCCUCUGACUGAGGGAUAACCCGUCGAAAGUCGGCCUAAUACCUCAUGGUAUCGUCUGCGGGCAUCCAACGACGAUUAAAGAUUUCAUCGGUCAGGGAUGGGGAUGCGUCUGAUUAGCUUGUUGGCGGGGUAACGGCCCACCAAGGCUACGAUCAGUAGGGGUUCUGAGAGGAAGGUCCCCCACAUUGGAACUGAGACACGGUCCAAACUCCUACGGGAGGCAGCAGUGAGGAAUAUUGGUCAAUGGGCGAGAGCCUGAACCAGCCAAGUAGCGAGCAGGAAGACGGCCCUAUGGGUUGUAAACUGCUUUUAUGCGGGGAUAAAGUGAGGGACGUGUCCCUCAUUGCAGGUACCGCAUGAAUAAGGACCGGCUAAUUCCGUG
rnacentral:rRNA from 1 species